ACAAGUAACCCUGCGCGGUUCCUGCUGCUCCGGAGCCGGGGUGGGGCAGGCAUCACCUCCUCCCCACCUCAGGCAGCCCGAGCCAGGUGACUACAGCAGUAAAUCACUGCCUGAGUAACGCUGCAUAAACACUCGGCGCUCCCCAGCUCCCCAGGUGAGUGUCCUCACCACUUCCUUUGGCUCUGUACAUCCAGCAGCUCCCGGGAAACACCCCAGCGGCUUCUGCUGGGCAGGCGGUGUGCUGAAAGCAAUGGGAUGGCAGCAGGAAUGUCAGUCCUGAAUAGCUGCCCUGAGGAGGGGAGGCACACACCAGGCGUGCCAGCCGCAAACGCUGGUUUGUUCAGGCUCUCUGCAGCUGCUCCGGUCUAGAUGUCAUUCUUCCAUCCUCGUUUCAGAGGCGUUUGCCAGGUUAUUCUGCUGCUUUGGGUGCUCACACGUGGGAGCAGUCAAGCUCUAAGCUAUGAAAAGUGACAACCAAAAAGAACUACAGCUGCAGGGACAGAAUAUACAACUACAGCUAGGAGGCCACCACUGCUCAGCUAAGAGCAUUCCUUCCUCUGUCAGUAACACAGCUCCAUGUUUAUUUACUUCUCUCAAACCUGUUAACCUCAGCUUUCAAACUGGCCUAUAAAACCAAGAAAGCAUCCAGGAUGAUCUAGGCCAGGUUAUGUCCCUUGAACCCUGCUAAAAAUCAUAGACUUGAGUUGGAAGGGACCCUUAAAGGUCAUCUAGCCAAAGCUCCCUGCAGUCAGCAGUGGUAUCUGCAACUAGAUCAGGUUGCUCCAAGCCCACUCCAAACUGACUUUGAGUAACUCCAAGAAUGGGGCAUCUCCCUCCU